rnacentral:rRNA from 1 species
UACAGAGGUCCCAAGCGUUGUUCGGAUUCACUGGGCGUAAAGGGUGCGUAGGUGGCUUGAAAAGUUUGAUGUGAAAGCUCAGGGCUUAACCCUGAAAUGGCAUUGAAAACUGUUGGGCUGGAGGUUUGGAGGGGGGACUGGAAUUCUUGGUGUAGCAGUGAAAUGCGUAGAUAUCAAGAGGAACACCAGUGGCGAAGGCGAGUCCCUGGACAACACCUGACACUGAGGCACGAAAGCUAGGGGAGCAAACAGG